rnacentral:rRNA from 1 species
UACGUAGGGUCCGAGCGUUGUCCGGAGUUACUGGGCGUAAAGCGCGCGCAGGCGGCUCGUCAAGUCUGGCGUGAAAGCCCCCGGCUCAACCGGGGAGGGUCGUCGGAGACUGGCGGGCUUGAGGGCGGUAGGGGCUGGUGGAAUUCCCGGUGUAGUGGUGAAAUGCGUAGAGAUCGGGAGGAACACCCGUGGCGAAGGCGGCCAGCUGGGCCGACCCUGACGCUGAGGCGCGAAGGCGUGGGGAGCGAACGGGAUUGAGAUA